rnacentral:rRNA from 1 species
CAGUCGCCGCGGGAAUACGAAGGGGGCUAGCGUUGUUCGGAAUUACUGGGCGUAAAGCGCACGUAGGCGGAUAUUUAAGUCAGGGGUGAAAUCCCGCAGCUCAACUGCGGAACUGCCUUUGAUACUGGGUAUCUUGAGUAUGGAAGAGGUUAGUGGAAUUGCGAGUGUAGAGGUGAAAUUCGUAGAUAUUCGCAGGAACACCAGUGGCGAAGGCGGCUAACUGGUCCAUAACUGACGCUGAGGUGCGAAAGCGUGGGGAGCAAACAGGAUUAGAUACCCCAGUAGUCCCUGUCUCUUAUAA